rnacentral:rRNA from 1 species
UACGUAGGCAGCAAGCGUUGUUCGGAGUUACUGGGCGUAAAGGGUGUGUAGGCGGUUGUUUAAGUUUGGUGUGAAAUCUCCCGGCUUAACUGGGAGGGUGCGCCGAAUACUGAAUGACUAGAGUGCGGGAGAGGAAAGUGGAAUUCCUGGUGUAGCGGUGAAAUGCGUAGAUAUCAGGAGGAACACCGGUGGUGUAGACGGCUUUCUGGACCGUAACUGACGCUGAAACACGAAAGCGUGGGUAGCAAACAGG